rnacentral:lncRNA from 1 species
AGGGGCCUUUGUCACCAGGGUGCAUACUUACAAACAGUGCAGUUCUUGGGACCGAGGUAAGCAGGGCUUACCUGCCAUGGCAGAAAGGCCAGGAUCUGGGGCUCUAGGAGUUUGGGAAUUGGGCAGAGUGCCCAAGAAAGCUGGCAGGCGUAUCCUAUGGGACAUCAUCCCUGGCACCAUUGUCAUUGUUGGUGCCUGUGUCCCAAGUAACUAGUGAGAAGCUGAGGCUGCAGCAAGAAACACCGUUCCCAGGUGGCAAGGUAUGGACCAGAGAUGCCCUCGGCCCACCACACCUGCAACCCAGAAGCCCAGAUGGAAUGCAGCUGACGAAGGUGAUGCUCGAGGCUCACGUUUGGGGCCCCACAGCUGGAGCCGGUAUAGUGACUGGGACAACAUCAAGGGGUGGAUGAGGGACCUGUCCUCCCGCAACACUGCCUUCCCAUGCUGUUCCCCUGCCAGCUCCUUAACACUGCUGACCAAUACGGCAUUCAGGGAAGUUGGAGGACAGCACCCACAGGGUGGCCAGCCUCAGGCCCCCACCUGCAUCCUCUAGUCUCUGGGGACCCCUAGGGGGAAGAAGUCUACCCUGCUUGUGAGUCCCGUCUCAGUGUGGAGAAAAUGGCUGCCCACGUGCCAGGAAAGCAGGGCCCAGGACCUGGAGGUGCCCACUGUGUUUAUGUUGGGGAUGGGGGGGCAGUGCUGGCUGCCUCUGUCCUGUGUGUGACCCUGCCCUCGAAGGGUCCUGUCCUGUCAGUCCCGAGGGAGCCACAACCAAAGCUGCGGAGAGAAGGUGGGGAAGGGUCCAGAAUGGCCGUGGGGCACAGCAUGGCGGACUGUUCAGUCUCUGCUGGGUCUUUCCUAGGGACCUGGAAGGCCAGUGUUGCUUCCCCCUCACUCCCUUUCACUGCAGGCAGCCUCUCUGCUUCCCCAAUGCCUUAUGCCUGGGCACACUGCCACAGAAUAUGCAAUAUGUGUGGGUGACCAUGUCCUCACGCCCACACCCCCACCCUGGGCAGCCCCUGGACUCCAAAGGCCGUGGCUGCCACAGCCUCCCCUCAGCUCUUCCUGCCUAUCUGUCUUCACACUGAGAAUGGCGCCCAAUAAAUGCUAUCCACGGAG